GAAAUGCGAUAAGUAGUGUGAAUUGCAGAAUUCAGUGAAUCAUCGAAUCUUUGAACGCACAUUGCGCCCCUCGGUACUCCGUGGGGCAUGCCUGUUCGAGCGUCAUUUACCCCUCAAGCAUUGCUUAGUGUUGGGCGUCUGUCCCGCUUCGUGCGCGGACUCGCCCCAAAGGUAUUGGCAGCGGUCGUGCCAGCUUCUCGCGCAGCACAUUGCGUAUGGAGGCGGUCGAUUAGCGUCCACAAAGCUCACAUCCACAGUUUGACCUCGGAUCAGGUAGGGAUACCCGCUGAACUUAA
rnacentral:misc_RNA from 1 species